rnacentral:rRNA from 1 species
CGGCGAGUGAAGCGGCAAAAGCUCAAAUUUGAAAUCUGGCUCCUUUAGGGGUCCGAGUUGUAAUUUGCAGAGGAUGCUUCGGGAGCGGCCACGGCUUAAGUGCCUUGGAACAGGACGUCAUAGAGGGUGAGAAUCCCGUCUUGAGUCGUUGGUCCGCGCCCAUGUGAAGCUCCUUCGACGAGUCGAGUUGUUUGGGAAUGCAGCUCUAAGCGGGUGGUAAAUUUCAUCUAAAGCUAAAUAUUGGCCGGAGACCGAUAGCGCACAAGUAGAGUGAUCGAAAGGUUAAAAGCACCUUGAAAAGGGAGUUAAACAGCACGUGAAAUUGUUGAAAGGGAAGCGCUUGCGGCCAGACUCGGGUACAGGGUUCAGCGGGUGCGUGUCACCCGUGUACUCCCUGUUUCUCGGGCCAGCAUCAGUUCUGACGGCCGGUCAAAGGCCUCUGGAAUGUGUCGUCUUUCGGGACGUCUUAUAGCCAGGGGUGCAAUGCGGCCUGUUGGGACUGAGGAACGCGCUUCGGCU